rnacentral:rRNA from 1 species
CACGUAGGGGGCGAGCGUUGUCCGGAUUUAUUGGGCGUAAAGAGCUCGUAGGCGGUUCAGUUAGUCGGGUGUGAAAUCUCCGGGCUCAACCCGGAGGGGCCACCCGAUACUGCUGUGACUCGAGUCCGGUAGGGGAGUGGGGAAUUCCUGGUGUAGCGGUGAAAUGCGCAGAUAUCAGGAGGAACACCGGUGGCGAAGGCGCCACUCUGGGCCGGUACUGACGCUGAGGAGCGAAAGCGUGGGUAGCAAACAGG